GCCUUGUAACAUCGAGUCUUUGACGCAAGUUGCGCCCGAUGCCAUUAGGUUGAGGGCACGUCUGCCUGGGUGUCACAUAUCGAAGCCUCCUGCCAAUUUCCAUUUGACUAUUGUGCAGGGUGGAUGUUGGCCUCCCGUGAGCUAUUUUGUCUCAUGGUUGGUUGAAAAUUGAGACCUUGGUAGGGUGUGCCAUGAUAGAUGGUGGUUGUGUGACCCACGAGACCAAUCAUGCGCUGCUCUAUUGAAUUUGGCCUCUUUUACCUAUAUGCGUUUCUAAACGCUCGUGAUGAGACCUCAGGUCAGGCGGGGCUACCCGCUGAAUUUAAGCAUAUCAAUAAGCGGAGGAAAAGAAACUAACAAGGAUUCCCUUAGUAACGGCGAGCGAACCGGGAUAAGCCCACCAUGAGAAUCGAUCGCCCUCGGCGUUCGAAUUGUAGUUGAAAAAAAACCGUCAAAAUU
rnacentral:rRNA from 1 species